rnacentral:misc_RNA from 1 species
CAACACAGACGGGCGAAAAACCAAGAGAUUGUUUAUUUCAUCGAUUUAUAUUAACUUCUGAUGAAGUCUCGUGACCCAUCAGUAAGUCGUGAAUACGAACAUAACAGAUGGACGUAAGUCAUUAAUUAUAUGACUCAUAUUAAUCGACGUUUUUGACGACAAAAAGCUGUGACAAGAAUUUACGAACAACACUAAAGUCAUACGUUGCUCGAGAAAAGACAUCGAGGAUGCCGGACGAAAAGAAUACGAGCUUUCCUUCGCGGAAAACGAAGUUGGAGAAAAUCCUUUUGGCUUCCGUUGCUGUUCUGUGUGCAACCAUUGGAUUCCUGGUAUACCUAUACUUGAUGCAAACUCAAGAAGCUUGCGAAAAUACUGCUGGUGACCACACGAAUAAAAGUCCGGAAAUAUGCACGGAUUCAAACUGUGUUGUAAACGCUGCAAAUCUAAUGAAAAAUAUGGACCCUACGGUGGAUCCUUGCGAUGAUUUCUACAGUUAUGCCUGUGGGAAAUACGACAAAACAACGCCAAUACCAGCACAUCUGGACUCGAUCCACGUUCUGAGACAACUCCAAGAGGCUAAUACAGAAGUUCUUAAGAGUAUCAUUGAGGAUAGCAAAGUUAGAUCACAAUAUGCAAAGAACCCAUCUGUUUCCAAGUUAUUCCAAGCGUACGACAUGUGCUUGACCCAUGGUAAAUUUGAUGACAAGGCUUUAUCGACGUUCCGGGAAUUUAUAAAACGUCUUGGAAACAGCAAUAUCACAUCGAAUGAAUGGGAUGAAAAAAAUUACGAUGUUUUUGAUGCUAUGGUCAUCGGCACUCGUCUUAAAAUGCAUUUCUUCUUCACCACUGAAGUCUGGAUUAACCCAAAAAAUAGCUCGGAACACGUUUUUGCUAUUUUCGAGCCAAGGUUAGCACUAAACACUAUUCUAGAUCUUCCGAAGAAGACGACAAAGAAAGAACUGAUAAGACAGUCCUACAGAGAACACAUGAUCUCAUUGCUGAGGUGGGUAUCAACAAAUCCAAGCGAAGUCCCGAGAGCAGUUGACGAAAUUUUAAGACUUGAAAGACGUAUUGCCAAGAUUCUCACAAGAUUCAAUUCAAAAGAAGAGUCGACAUUUACCAUUGCCGAGUUUUCAAAAUUUACAAAGUUUGAAUGGCUUUCCUUUCUUCAAAACUUGACAAGUGGUAUCGAACACCGACCAACUGAAGACGAUAUUCUAUUAGUAGUGAGAUGUAAAUACAUUUUAAAGCAUAUCAUUCGUGUGAUCAAAACGACGGAGAAACGCAUUAUUUCCAAUUUCAUUGCGUGGAAAGUACUUCAGGAGAGCAUUCCCGCCUUACCAAGCAUGCUCGGCGAACUUACUAAAAAAUUUCAGAAUGAUAUUCGGGACAGACCGGUAGAAAAGCAGAGAUGGCAAACAUGUAUCGAAAUGUUGAGCGAAUCAUUUAAAAAGGUGCUGAGUUAUCUGUAUGUUGAACGAAAGUUUAGCGAAGAUUCAAGGAACAAGGCAUUUCAGAUAUUUGCUGAAAUACGAAGAGAAUUUGUGGACAGCUUGAAAAACGAAACGUGGAUGGAUGAAAGGACAAAGAUGGCGGCAGCAGAAAAGGCAAGGGCGAUUAAUUUUCUUGUCGGGUACUCUGACGAAACGAAUCGUAUUCAAGAAAUUAAUACUGCUUUUGAAAAGUUAAAAGUAAACAAAACCAAUUUCUUCGAAACCUUUUUGAACCAGCGACGUUUUGGGGUUGAGAAAGAUUUGAGAAAACUUCUUCAUCCUGUCAACGAGAACAGUUUCGACAAGCUAACUUCUCACGCCAAUGCAUAUUAUUCAAGAUACGAAAAUAAGAUAUCGUUCUUGGCGGGGAUUCUUCAACGUCCGAUCUACGACAGCAGGAAUAGCAGAGCUUCAAAUUAUGGAUCACUUGGUAUGAUUGUUGGACAUGAAUUGACGCACGCGUUUGAUAUCAGAGGUCACAAGUACGACAAGAAUGGAAAUCUGAGAGACUGGUGGUCGCCACUUUCCUUAAAAAACUUUAAAGAAAAAACGACGUGCUUCACGGAGCAGUACAAUAAGUUCACACUCCUAGGAGAAAGCGUAAGACUCGAAUAAUACGAGGGUUCAAAACUCUGGGGGAAAAUAUUGCUGAUAACGGUGGACUGAAGUUGGCUUUCAAUGCAUUUAAAAGAGACGAG